UGGGGUGGGGGGAUGGAGGUGAUGGGGGGGCCCGAGAGGAGAGGUGGAGGAGAGAGGAUCCUGGAGGUGCGGAGGCACUGGCCUUUCUCAGCCCCGCCAACGCCUCCUCCCGCCGAGGUGGGCCAGCUGGGAGGCUGCCAAGUGCGCGCCCGCCGGGCUCGCCCCGGGCGCGCCCAGCGCUCGCCGGCGACGUGGAAAACCUCGAGAGUCUUAAGACGUCAGGGCGAAUCGCGGGGUGCUUUGGGGAACGCCGCACGGGGGCCUCGGGGUCCCGCGGAGUUUUUGCGGACGCACCAGGCCGCGUCGGGAUGCCCCGCUCGGGAGGCCGCAGCCUGGGGGACGCUCACACUCUGUUGGCAUCUGUCCGCGCCUGUGUACGUGGCUCUUGACGUGGAGAGCUGUGCCUGUGGACAGCGUGCACCGGAGGGAGGGACGAAAGGAUGAGGCCUUGGCCCAACCUCUGUGCCCUGGGAGUCCCAAAGCCACUGCUAUUUGUCAGAUUAACCCCCCAGACCCACGAGGAAAUCCUUGAGGCUUCUGGGAACGUGGGAUUUGUAGUGCCGCUGGUUCCAGAUGGUUCCUCCUUCAGACUUUGGCAAAUCGGCAUCCCAAAGAUUUCCUCUUAUCCUUCUGCUGUGUUGAGCAGACAUUACCCAGACACGGCGCCCGGAUCUCUGCUCUUGGAGUUUCCUGGAUCCCUCCAGUGGGGAUGAUGGAUUGAGAACAGAGUUGCCUCGGGGUCAGUCUCCCACCAGCGAGACUUUCUCUUCUGACCGUUCUACUCCAUCCACGCCAAGCAUAAAGAAUAGAUCCUGUGUGCACACAGCAAGAUGGCAGCUGCUGACGAGCCCCGAAGAGAAGUCUCACCAGAAACUGACCGUGCUGGUACCCUGAUCCUGGACUUCCAGCCUCCAGAACUGUGAGAAAUAAGUGUCUGUUGUUUCAGCCCCCCAGUCUAUGGUAUUUUGUUACGACAGCCUGAACUGACUAAGACAUAGUCCAAUAUUGUUUCUCCCUGAUGGCAAUGUGUUAGGCCAGAACCUCCACGAUCCCUGAUUUUCCUUCAUGAGCAGGUAGGGUAGGAAAGCGAUACACAGGAGCUGAGUGUAGUUCUGAGAGAAGUUCAGACCAGCGUGUGAAAGGAGGAAGGUGAGCACUGGUCCGAAAUGGAGUACACCAAGAUUGAGAGGCAAGUACAGGAGAAAUAGACACUGUUAGGAAAAAGGGAGUCUGAAUGUUUCCACCAAGGAGACCUCCGACUUUCUGAAGGACUGUUUCCAAGAUGACCAGAAUCUUCUUUCUUCUCCACUUGUUAUGGCAAAGACAGUGCAUAAUGCCAGAAUGAAAUGACCCCAGUCAUCUCUAACAAUAUCUUAACAUGUUACGAACAAAAAAUAUCUGUACCAAGUCCUCUGCUCGCUCAAUACUGAGAGUCCUAUUCUCCACUGGAAAAGAGGCUGGACAUCCCCCAGACCAGCCAGGAAGAGCUUUCUAUGGAGCCCCCACCCCAGCAAGGAUGCAGUGGGUGGAGCAGGACCAGGCACAUCCAGACAGCUUAAUUGAAACAGGGUAUCAGAAAAAUAGGACCCUCUUAUAUUUUGCUAUACUUUUGACAUUUUUCCCAUUAAAAAAUGUUUUUAAAAAGGUAUUUCUGUAGACAAUUACAAUUUCAUUCCCCAGUUUAAAAAGUAGUGGUAUGGAACAAAAAUGACAACACAUCAUGAUAUCUUGUUUAGGUAUGCAGGAACUCCAAUAAUUUCCAGGAGAAACAAGUUUGUUUCUAUGUUCUUUUUAAGAA